rnacentral:SRP_RNA from 1 species
GCCAGGCGUGGUGGCUCACACCUGUAAUCCCAGCACUUUGGGAGGCUGAGGCAGGUGGAUCACCUGAGGUCAGGAGUUCGAGACCAGCCUGACCAACAUGGUGAAAUCCUGUCUCUA